rnacentral:rRNA from 1 species
ACGAACGCUGGCGGCGUGCUUAACACAUGCAAGUCGAACGGAAAGGCCUGCUUUCCCUUGUGGAUUGCGGGUACUCGAGUGGCGAACGGGUGAGUAACACGUGAGUGAUCUGCCCCCAACUUGGGUAUAAGCCUGGGAAACUGGGUCUAAUUCCCGAUAGGACUGCAGGGUGGUGCCUGUGGUGGAAAACGAUUUUCUAGUGGUUGGGGAUGAGCUCGCGGCCUAUCAGCUUGUUGGUGGGGUAAUGGCCUACCAAGGCGGCGACGGGUAGCCGGCCUGAGAGGGUGGACGGCCACAGUGGGACUGAGAUACGGCCCAGACUCCUACGGGAGGCAGCAGUGGGGAAUAUUGCACAAUGGGCGGAAGCCUGAUGCAGCGACGCCGCGUGGGGGAUGACGGCCUUCGGGUUGUAAACUCCUUUCGACCGCGAGGAAGCCACCUGGUUGGAAGGGUGGUGACGGUAGUGGUAGAAGAAGCACCGGCUAACUACGUG